GAUGAACGCUGACAGCAUGCUUAACACAUGCAAGUCGGUGGCGGACGGGUGAGUAACGCGUAAGAACUUGCCUCACAGAUAGGGACAACAUUUGGAAACGAAUGCUAAUACCUGAUACUGUGAGAGAGCUUUGCGUCCCAUUAGCUAGUUGGAGAGGUAACGGCUCACCAAGGCGAUGAUCCCUAGCUGGUCUGAGAGGAUGACCAGCCACACUGGAACUGAGACACGGUCCAGACUCCUACGGGAGGCAGCAGUGGGGAAGUUUGGACAAUGGGCGCAAGCCUGAUGCAGCCAUGCCGCGUGUGUGAAGAAGGCCUUCGGGUUGUAAAGCCCUUUCAGCGGGGAGGCGUUACCCGCAGAAGAAGCGCCGGCUAACUACGUGCCAGCAGCCGCGGUAAUAC
rnacentral:rRNA from 1 species